UACGUAGGGGGCUAGCGUUGUCCGGAAUCAUUGGGCGUAAAGCGCGUGUAGGCGGUCCGGUAAGUCCGCUGUGAAAGUCGGGGGCUCAACCCUCGAAAGCCGGUGGAAACUGUCGGGCUAGAGUGCGGAAGAGGCGAGUGGAAUUCUUGGUGUAGCGGUGAAAUGCGCAGAUAUCAGGAGGAACACCAAUUGCGAAGGCAGCUCGCUGGGACGUUACUGACGCUGAGACGCGAAAGCGUGGGGAGCAAACAGG
rnacentral:rRNA from 1 species